UGUGACACGACAACAGAUAGAUGUAUGUGUAUUUCUGGUGACAGAAGUUCACUCGACGUGGUUCGGAAGCCACGUAAAGCCGUUGGUCCCAUUGUUGAAUAACCACUGGUUAUUCAAACAAACAAACAACUGAUAGAUGUAACCAGGCAUUUCGCUUUAAGGGCUGAAGGUAUUUCGAUUCAAUUCGUUUCAAUACAUCCAUAAGGCCGAUUCGAUACAACUCCUGUCUUUUGACAGCUCGGUCAAGUUAUUAAGUUGCCAAACAAAACACAAGCAAACGUCACAGUUUUAAACAAUUGAGGUCACCGCUUGUAACAAAACUCUUCUCUCUUAAUUUUCAAGACAAAUAUUUAAGUCCAGAUACAGCACUCGAUAAAUAAGUAAACCUAAUUCCUCAACAGGGAACGUACCUGUUACUCAGUAAAGCGAAAUUUGCUACAUUGUCUAUUAUUGCAAAUUUAUCUUUCCAAGAUAAUCGGUUAAGUACGACAUUCGUCUUUGGAACAAUCAUGUCUCGUCAGUCAGUCACUGAGAACCGCUUUGCUAAGCGUCUUAUUUAUGGUACUUGUUUUUGUUUUGUGCGGUAAAUUAGCAUCUCGAAGUCAAUCAAUUAAUUUUACCCUUGAAAAUUUAGAUUUCCGAGAUUGAGACUUAAAAACAAUUCAAAACUAAAGAGUAAUUUAUGAGAGUUGUGAAACAUACAAAGCAUUUGAAUGAUGUAAACUUAGUUCUAAUCGUAAGAGAUUUUUGUAAAUGUCAGAUACGUGCCUAUGAAUCAAACGUAGGCGAUACAAUUUUGAUAAAGAUACACGUAAAUAUUUAAAGAAAUAAGUUUGUUUCAAUUGUUUGUGUGGAAACGAACGCAGCUGUCUGUAUCAGAUCGUCUUGAUGGAUGUAUUGAAAUUGAAAAUAUGUAAACACGAUAGGGAGGCGGGCAGGAGUCGACGAUUGAAUUCGGUGUCCAGCAGGCAUGAAGGUUCAGAGACUUGGGAGAGCAGGCAUCCACAAAAUGCUGGAAAGUAACAAAUACUGGAAGGACGCCUCUCUAGACCUUACUUGUAGCUUGGCGGAAAACUUGCCAAUGCUGGGAAUUUACUUAGACCCAGAUGUGGUGGAGGAGAAGGUCAUUGAUUUAAAUGACAUCAGUUUUGCAGAAGAAGAAGCAACACCAAUCGCGCAGGUAGGCUCCACCCCUCACGGUACUGUGGGCUGGUUGUGGAUUGGUGGUAAGUACAGGCGGUGUGGGAUGGGAAGACUCCUCGUUAAGGUGAUGAGUCGACUCCAGAUGUCUGAGGGGUAUUUUCCUCAUG